rnacentral:sRNA from 1 species
UAAAAAAAUUAAUAUCGGUGUCGAUGAAUUUCUCUUGAUUAUAAGAGUUUCAAU